GUAGUAUUCCCUCCGUCCCAAAAUUCUUGUCUUACAUUUGUUUAGAUACGGAUGUAUCUAACACUAAAAUGUAACUAGAUACAUCCAUAUUUAGACAAAUUUAAGAUAAGAAAUUUUGGAUGGAGGUGAGGGAGU
rfam:Triticum aestivum genome assembly, contig: Triticum_aestivum_CS42_TGACv1_scaffold_591819_7BS